rnacentral:lncRNA from 1 species
UAAUUCUCUCAUUCAACAAUUUUUUAGCCCCUAUUAGACUCUGGCACCAUUCUAGGAAUUGGUGGACAAGGCAGACUCCCUGCCUUCAUGGAGCUAGAAGGUAGUGCAGAUGGUGACAAUGAUUAUUAAACAAAUAAAAACACUGCUGGAAUUUAGGCAAGAUGGAGGACCUCCAUGAGGCUGGGCUAUGAAAUGAUGGAGGAGAGGAUGGGAAUUACAGGGUGGUCGUGGUAACGGAUAUUAGAGCAGAUAAGAGAUUAGCAGGAACAUGACUAAAGAGAGGGAGAAGGAAAUGUGAACAUCCGGCGGCCGGGGUUCUUGGUAGAAAAACCAGUAAGUGCAAAGACAUCAGACGUGGACAUGAGCUUGGUAUGUUUAGAAAACAAUGUGGCUGGGGAGGAGCAGCACGAAGGAGCCCAAGAGAGGAUAAGCAGAGCUGAUUUGGGGACCUGAUCAUGAAGAACCGUGAAGGACUUGCUGAUCUCAGUCUGCUGGGGGAAUGGGAACUAUGAGAGGAAGAGAGAGAUCAAGGACAGCUACCAAGAUUUGGGCCUGUGUGACUGGUCGGAUUUUAAGUGUGGGUUAUAAAACCAGCUCUCAGUGCAUUAUUACAGAUGGGCAGAUUUAUGAUGAAAACAUGAGGAAUUUUCCUAUAUAUUAUUUCUAUUUUUUCAGAGAAAAGUUGUAAAGUCCUCUGCUGGGACUGAGAAUGACAGAGGGGCUAUUGGGCACCCAACGAGAGGAAGAAGUAUGGAAUGGACAUUCGGGAGAUAAGGAGGCAAGCAUCCUGGGAUCUUGGUCUCUGAAGGCUGCAGCUCAGUAGAUUGUCAAAAGGCACUUUUCUCCCAACAUCAAUAUCCCUCCAAUCAAGAAACCCAGUAAAAAGUGAAGGACGCAAUUUAGGAUAAAAAGCAUACAGAUGUAUUUGAUCAUAGUUCGAUGUGACGUAGGAGCCUUCAGAAUGAAGAACCAAAAACACAGGAGAAGCCGCAAAUCUUUAUGCUUAGGUUCAACACAGGGUGGACAGCUGUGUGGAGAUAAGUUUGGACAAAAAGGAUGUGAUCUAAUGCUGAUAGGCUGAGUGGGGACUCAGCAGGGCCUGUCUGUCCGGAUUCUUCUUGGCCUCUCUGAGCAGCAUUCCUUCCUUCUGGGUAUGUGGCAGGACCCUCUCUGGAAUUACAGUCUUACCACCUACAGUCAAACAGAGUAGGUCAGAUAAUUUCUUUCUUUCAAUGUUUUAUUUUCAAUUCCGGGGGUACGUGUGCUUGUUUGUUACAUGGGAAUUGCUCGUGAAAUGAGGAGGACUGGGCCUCUAGUGAACCCAUCACCCAAAUGUUGAACACUGUACCCAACAGGAAAUUUUUCAACACUCACUCCUCUCCCACCCUCCCCCCUUUUGGAGUUCCCAGUGUCUAUUAUCUCCAUGUUCAUGUCCACGUGUAUCCAUUGUUUCACUGCCUCUUACAGGUGAGAACAUGCGAUAUUUGAUCUGCUUCUGAGUUAGUUCCCUUAGGAUAAUGGCCUCCAGCUCCAACCAUGUUGCACAAAGGCCAUGAUUUCAUUCUUUUUUAUGGAUGCAUAGUAUCCCAUGGUAUAUGCAUCACAUUUUCUUCUAGUCCAUCAUUGGUGGACACUUAGUUUGAUGACUUUGCUAUUGUGUAUAGAGUUGCAAUAAAUAUACAAAUGCAGGUGCCUUUUUUAAUAUAAUGCUUUAUUUUCCUUUGGGCAGAUAUCCAGUAGUGGGAUUUCUGGGUUGAAUGGUAGUUCUAUUUUUGGUUCUUUGAGAAAUCCCCAUACUGUUUUCCAUAGAGGUGGAACUAAUUUACAUUCCCACCAACAGUACAUAAGCAUAAAGCAUGUUUACUAUACUAAUAUAUGACUGUGCCAGAUUAACUCUUUAUAAUAGGAAUGAGAAACACAUUGAUAAAUGCCAACCCUGGUCCUCAUGGAGACAGAGAAGCUGGCAGCCAAUUCCAUAGGAUAAGUGCCUUCAGAGAUAUAAGCAAGGAGCUGUUAUGCCACAGGAGAGGGAGAAAGGAACUGCUGGGGGAACUUAAAAGGGUGACAUAAGACACAGCCUCUGAGGUGGAUUGGAAAAGAUGGCUAUAAACUUG